rnacentral:rRNA from 1 species
ACAUGCAGUCGAGCGGAUGAAGGGAGCUUGCUCCUGGAUUCAGCGGCGGACGGGUGAGUAAUGCCUAGGAAUCUGCCUGGUAGUGGGGGAUAACGUCCGGAAACGGGCGCUAAUACCGCAUACGUCCUGAGGGAGAAAGUGGGGGAUCUCGGACCUCACGCUAUCAGAUGAGCCUAGGUCGGAUUAGCUAGUUGGUGGGGUAAAGGCCUACCAAGGCGACGAUCCGUAACUGGU